rnacentral:rRNA from 1 species
UAAUACAUGCAAGUCGAACGAGUUCUGAUUAUUGAAAGGUGCUUGCAUCUUGAUUUAAUUUUGAACGAGUGGCGGACGGGUGAGUAACACGUGGGUAACCUGCCCUUAAGUGGGGGAUAACAUUUGGAAACAGAUGCUAAUACCGCAUAAAUCCAAGAACCGCAUGGUUCUUGGCUGAAAGAUGGCGUAAGCUAUCGCUUUUGGAUGGACCCGCGGCGUAUUAGCUAGUUGGUGAGGUAACGGCUCACCAAGGCAAUGAUACGUAGCCGAACUGAGAGGUUGAUCGGCCACAUUGGGACUGAGACACGGCCCAAACUCCUACGGGAGGCAGCAGUAGGGAAUCUUCCACAAUGGACGCAAGUCUGAUGGAGCAACGCCGCGUGAGUGAAGAAGGCUUUCGGGUCGUAAAACUCUGUUGUUGGAGAAGAAUGGUCGGCAGAGUAACUGUUGUCGGCGUGACGGUAUCCAACCAGAAAGCCACGGCUAACUACGUGCCAGCAGCCGCGGUAAUACGUAGGUGGCAAGCGUUAUCCGGAUUUAUUGGGCGUAAAGCGAGCGCAGGCGGUUUUUUAAGUCUGAUGUGAAAGCCCUCGGCUUAACCGAGGAAGUGCAUCGGAAACUGGGAAACUUGAGUGCAGAAGAGGACAGUGGAACUCCAUGUGUAGCGGUGAAAUGCGUAGAUAUAUGGAAGAACACCAGUGGCGAAGGCGGCUGUCUGGUCUGUAACUGACGCUGAGGCUCGAAAG